GCGAGCGUAGCUCAGUUGGUAGAGUAGGAGCUUCCCAAGCUCUUGGUCGCGGGUUCGAAUCCCGUCGCCCGCUCCA
rnacentral:tRNA from 1 species